UACGAAGGGGGCUAGCGUUGCUCGGAAUCACUGGGCGUAAAGGGUGCGUAGGCGGGUCUUUAAGUCAGGGGUGAAAUCCUGGAGCUCAACUCCAGAACUGCCUUUGAUACUGAAGAUCUUGAGUUCGGGAGAGGUGAGUGGGAACUGCGAGUGUAGAGGUGAAAUUCGUAGAUAUUCGCAAGAACACCGAAUGGUUACAGG
rnacentral:rRNA from 1 species